rnacentral:rRNA from 1 species
AUUGAACGCUGGCGGCAGGCCUAACACAUGCAAGUCGAGCGGAUGAAGGGAGCUUGCUCCUGGAUUCAGCGGCGGACGGGUGAGUAAUGCCUAGGAAUCUGCCUGGUAGUGGGGGAUAACGUCCGGAAACGGGCGCUAAUACCGCAUACGUCCUGAGGGAGAAAGUGGGGGAUCUUCGGACCUCACGCUAUCAGAUGAGCCUAGGUCGGAUUAGCUAGUUGGUGGGGUAAAGGCCUACCAAGGCGACGAUCCGUAACUGGUCUGAGAGGAUGAUCAGUCACACUGGAACUGAGACACGGUCCAGACUCCUACGGGAGGCAGCAGUGGGGAAUAUUGGACAAUGGGCGAAAGCCUGAUCCAGCCAUGCCGCGUGUGUGAAGAAGGUCUUCGGAUUGUAAAGCACUUUAAGUCGGGAGGAAGGGUAGUAAGUUAAUACCUUGCUGUUUUGACGUUACCAACAGAAUAAGCACCGGCUAACUUCGUG